AGUGAAGCGUCGCUGACGUUGGAACCGAACCUGGUCACGUGAAAUUCAGUCCAUGGCACAAUCCUUGUGUUGCUAGGGCCACAGCCCACUUCUCCUCACACUGCUGGCACUAAAGGCAAAUAUUCAAGGUGGAAGCGGUCUGGCUGAUUCCAUCUAGCCACGACUGUCACUGCACAUGGCGUGGACGUCUUCAGAGAACUAUCCACCGUGACUCCACGAUUUCUUUCCUGAUCAGUUGGGAGCUAAAUUAGCCCCCACCAUAUUGUACGUACAGUUGGGGUUAUUUUUUCUCUUGGCCUUUAUGGGGAUGUAGUUGCCCCAGGCUAGGCAAGCACAGCCACUUUCCCCACCCUGAGCCCUUGCAUAAGGCUCAGCACAUGCCCAUCCCUGAAUCACUUCUCUCCCACCACCCAUACUCUACCACGAAUGCACUACAAUGCAUGGCAGGUUCUCAGGCUGCUGGUUUUUAAAAAGGAGCAUCUGCCUGUGGCUCAGCUCGCAGGCGCUAGCACAAGGAAUGUUCUCUCCACCCAGCCGCCCUCUCCCUUUCAUAAGAAAAAUCUUUACUCCAGCAGGCACGUUUCCCCAGCCCUGGCGCCUGCAUGGUGUUCAGUGUAGGGACCACACCCUGCACGGAGGAGCACAGGAAAGUCAGCUGGCUCAUCUUCAAACUAAAUCCAGCACUUUGGGCCAUACCUAUGUAGAAGCGCAGUGCACCUGUAGAAAGCAGGAUGUGGGUGGGGUUCUGCAGAGAUUCAGCUCCAAGAUAAACGUUCAGAAACCAUUUCUGUUGAGAUUAGCAUUCUGCCAGCUUGCACAAACAGCUGGGCUGUGAUUACCCUUGAGAAACCUCUAGUCUGCAGCUGUUCUUAGCACCUAGUGAGAAUUGCUAUCACCUGCCAACACCACCGCAUCUGCAAAAGUCUUUAUUUUUAAACAGCCUACAGCUGAGGACAGGUUUGACUUCAGACUAGUCACACCUGAGUGGGAGUGUGGACGUGGCAUUGCCUCUGGCUGGUGCCACGUGUGGGAGAGGUACGGUACUUUCCUAGAUUUACAAGUGUUAGAAGGGGCUCCCACAAAAAGCUUCUCUUUACACAUUCCUGUCUUCCACCCAUCAGUGUAGCACGGUGCUUCUAGCCAACAACCAGCCAAACUGACUCACGUAGUAGCAGGAUCUCAGCUGACUGGGGCAAUAAGAGUGAGGGGAGGAAUAUUGAUCAAGUUUAUUUAUUCCUCCCUGCAUCUGGAUCCGUGCAGUAGGGGGUCCCUAGUCAAAUAAGCCCAGAUUGACUGAACUGCUGACGGCCGGCCACGAGGAGUACGCUAGCAGGGCACUAGGCUCAAGAUGCAAGUGCCCAGGGGAGGAGAGGGCUGGUACGGCAUUCAGGCUGCAGGGAAGUGAAAGCAGUAGCAAAGGGAGCAGCCUAGCGUUCCAUGAGGCAGCCAGCUUUCCUUCCAUCCUGCGUCUCCGUGGCCUGGUCUUGUUGCACAAUUCAAAGAGCUCGUUAUGAGCCAAGUGCAGCAGGGCCCUUGUCAUCUCUCGAAACCAGGGCACCACCUGAUAGAGGUUACUAUGAGCAGGACUACACCAGGCCCCACAGAUUAGAAAAAACUGCUAUUCCCAGGACAGCGCAUCUGCAGCCAAGCUCCCUGAACACAGGGCUACGCAACACUGGAAGCCCCCAGAGCCACAAUGACACUCUCAGCACAUGCUGAGGGCUACAACUUAAGGAUGGUUGCAUGUAUGUAUGCAAAUAGCUUUUCCCACAAUGCCCCAGCGCUCCCGGCCCUGGGGGCUAGAAAUGCCAACACCCUGUACCUGUCUGCUCACGUCUUUCAUGCUCACCCCACCCAGGAGACACCUUACCGUGUGUAGCAUGUUCCCAAUGGAGGCCAUGUCCACAGGAUCCUUCCCCUGGGCUGAAUGUUGAGUAGCCCUGCUCUAAUCUCUUCCAUCCAUGCAUGGAAUAACUAUGUGCACCAAAGCAUGUGAGAAUGUGCACCACCAGUAUAAACAAAGCCUGGGUGUGGAAGCUCUGCUAAUCAGCAGGCUGUCAUGGGAGUUGCUGGAGCAGCUGCACAGAUGCAUAACAGAGCACCGAUGGCCAGGUGAGUCCCUGGUGCCCAGUUACUCUUCCCACACAGCUCAGCUUGGCUGACCCCCCUUCCUCCGGAGGCUGCAGCAGGGCAAGUGUGCAGCCGAGGGUGGUAUGUGGGCAGGCUGCAGCUGGGGUCAGGCAGUGGUGGUGUGAAUGCAGGUGUCUAAGCCAGCAGAAGUGCAUGCUUAAGGCUACUUGGCACUUGAGUUUACAGAUUGCCCCUCGGCCCCCCCAACACAGGGUUUUGGUAUUGCCCCAGAAGACGCAGGAGCUGGAACUCAUCGUGAUGGUCCCCCCAAUAUUAAUCCUGAUGUAAGGAACAGCUGGGCUGAGGGGCUCAGGCGUCCCGGGAAGCAUGGGGCCUUGUUCACUGCCCUUUCCACUAAAGUCUGACGCGCUCCGAGCUGAGGUACAGGAGCCUGCUUGGCUCCCAGGCUCUGCGCUCCCAGCUCACUGGGAAAAUGGCUACCUGGCCUCCUGCAUGUCUGCUCCUGCUUUCAAUAAGCUGAGCUGCCCCCAGCACCCAGGGAGCCACGACCAACUACAGGGAGUCCCCAGGAAGUAGGUUGUUGUGCAGCAGGAUGAAGCAGAGUUUACGUACGUGGGCGUUUUCCUCCCAGCUGGCUGCACUUCCUCUCCACAGCCCGAUUUAGAAGCUGGAUUCAGAUGGCUAAGAUGAGCACACAACUAAUAUUAGAGAGAAGCAAUUUUAACACUAGCAGCUGAAACAGCAUGGCUAGAAACAGCACGUCCUAAGCCUCAAGGCACUGCAAGGACUACUUGAGGUGCAACACACUAGCCAGGCUCUGGCACAGCCUAUGCUCAGACGUGGAGCUGUGGCACAGCUAGUUGAGUGUGGUAAAUACCGAACCCCGCUUUGU